GGGCCCUCCACCCUCCGUCCGGCCGCGACCGCGAGGAGGAAGAGGAGAUGGGCUACGCGAGGCCCGGCCCACCCCGCGUUCGCGCGUGCGCACGGGGAGGCCGGGGCGGGGCGCGUGAGGACUUCGGCGCGCGCCGGAAGCACGUGCGCGGGCUGGGCGCUCUGGCGGUGUGCGCUGAGGCUCCUGAGUAUAACAGAUUGGUUCUGAUUAAAACCAUUUCAGAGGAAAGACAGUGAUCCCAGGAAGCGGGAAGAAAACAGCAUCACCUGAAGUUAUUCCUAUUCGUUAGAUUUGUUUUCUUCCUGCGAAAAACUGCUAUGUACAAGAAAGAAGUCAGUGAGCUGCAGUGAUAGUUAGCAUUAUUGACUGAAACUGGACCAGAGAUCCCUGAAACCUGGACAAGGUGGUAGAAAUACAAAUUAUGCUGCCAUUUCAAAGCUGUGGGCAGUUUUCUACUUUGUGGAAAAUGAAGACUUAGGUAGGCCUUUGGGAAAGACGAUUUGUUUUGGAAAAACCACCCAAAGGGAUCAUUUGGUUUGCAAAUGUAACUGCAGUAUCACAACUGGAAGAAGAAAUAUACAAGGGCGAGGUUUGAAGGAGCCCUUCAGUAUCCUUGGAUGAUACUGUGGAAGAUUCUUUGCAUCUCAGUAACUUUGGAUCUUUGAAGAUCCAAGAAAAUAAAUUUCUUCAAAAUAUUUUUAGAGACUGCUUUGAUUCUGAGGCACUGCUGAUUAUAUGGAAGAAAAAAAUAUUGGAAGAUUAAUUUGUGGUUUUCUCCAGUUAUCGUCUCCCUUCUCUUUGGGGGAGGUUUGUGACGCAGUAAAAACAGAUAUACAAAAGCCUAGGCAUGUUAGAGAUUUGCCUAAGGGAAAUGUAAUUAUGAAGAAGGAUUUUUUCAAGCUGAAACUAGAUCCCACUUUUUUCCAGGUCAGUGGGUCCUUCAAGUAUCUGGUACUUUCCUUCCUGCUUCCUGACAAUGUUAAAGAAUGUGGCAUGACCUUACAUUUAAUGCCCAACGUGAGGAGCCCUGGGGCUUGAUGCAUGAGAUUCUUGGAGCUAGGCCUGGUGGAGGGCACUGGUCACAGCCUCGGUGGAAUGGUGACUUUCUUUGGUAACUGGAAUUGAAGAAAAUGAGUGGACUUGUGUCUGAGCACUUGGGAACUCAGCAAUCCCUGGGUGUUACCUUGAGAAGGAGCCAAAUUCCAGACAUACAAGUGGAGACUUGAAAAUGGAAGCUCAAUUCCACACCCAGGCUGGUGGAGACUAUGACAUAUAACUCACAUCUUCAAGAAAGUAGACACCUCAGAGGUCACUGGGCCACUUUACCUUCCACUGUCAAAACUAUGUCCAUGAUCAGAUACCUCUGUUGCUAGGGAAUAUUCAGUCAGAAUGGGCUAGAUUAACUGCAGUAAUGCAGAUCUCUCAACCCAUUUAUGACUUACGCAGCAAAGUUCCUCGCUCAGACUACCUGUCCACUCCCACGAGCAGAGACUUGCUCAUGGGCCCUCCUAGACCCAGGCUGACCGAGUGUGUUUUAUCUAAAUGCAUCUCCACAAUCACUCAGGUAGGAGUGGCUAUGCAUUAGGACUGAUUGUGCAUUAGUUAGAGAAGCACUUACCAGGAAUUGCUAUAAGAACUUCUAUUUACAUUUCAUGGGCCAAAGCAAGUCAUGUGGCAACACUUAAUUUCAAAGAGGACAGGAAAUGCAAUAUUGUUAUGUCCCUGAAAGAAAGGAGAAGAGAAAGUCUAUGGAAAGACAUUAUGACUACCACUGGAAUUUUCACCUGUCCAGGCAGCUCAUCGUGCUUUUAUUUGAAACAAUUUUAUUGAAGUAUAGGCAUAACUGCACAUACCAUCUGUCCCAGUGUCAGGCACAUUUUAGGUGCCCAACAAACAUCUGUGGAAUGAAUGAAUGAGUGCUGGCACCACCUAUAAGCACACAGUAAGGAUAACCAUGGAGAGAAUAUGCCGAGCCUUUUAAUCAGCCCAGAAGAGCGCCUUCUGUGUUAAGGCGAAAUGCCAGAAUCCCAAGGAACAGAUUCACCACCCAGGGGCGGGACUCAGGGACUGCUGAUACUGAGGCUGCCCUGUGGGUUUUCCUUCCAGAUCCCUUCUUGAUUUGCCCAAAAGAAUUUCACGUUUUGUUUCAGUUAAGGAGAGGCCUUUCCUUACUGCUGACUUUAAGGAAACUGGAAAUUGUGCUUGUGGGGGAAGUGGCUUUGGAACUUGGGGCCUCUUUGGGACCUGGUAGGCAAUGGGGUUUGGGGGCAAGUUUGUGGGACAUGUGUCUGAACAGGAAGGAAGGGAGGAGCAGUGGGGCCAGCCAGGAAGCAGUGCCGAAUGCAGAUUUCUCUUCUUGUGCAGCUUUGCUUAGAGUUGAACAUUACUUCCCAGAGAUAGAUUGACCCCAAUCCUGCAGAGAUUGGCUAUCCUGCUCUUCAACUUAUUUUUAGAUAUAUGGUCUCACUUGAAUCUCACAUCCAAUGAGGAGUUCCUGACCCCUCAAUUUAGCUCCACCUGGCAUUCCAGAGCAAUUCAAGGACCUGGUAGGGCUACUAGCAAUCCACUGCUACAUAUAGGGGAACAAUGAGUUUUAAAGCUGCUCAGAAAUCUGUGAUUCGAGUAUCAGGAAAUCCUUGACUCUUUAUCAAAUGUGAAGUUGCUGAUUUAAGAAAUAAAGUUAAGAAACAAUAUUCAUUAACAGAAUGGAAUUUAAUGCAACCGCUGGUGUUUUGGGGUUAUUUUCUGGUCACAUAGUGCCCCCUGGUGGGUUCACUGACAUACUCUUCUGGAAUGCUCCUUUCCCAGGCUGUGCUUUGUGACAAGGCCAGCACCAGCAGGGUGAUUCCAAGAAUUUGCAGUUUAGGCACAGUCCAACGAUGCUCUAAAGAUUGUCUGUUAAGGGAAAAUAUGAGUUAUGAAAAUGCUGUGGGUUGUACUGUAUCCCCCACCAAAAGAUACGUUAAAGUCCUAAGCCCCAAUACCUGUGAAUGCAGACUUAUUUGGAAAAAGGGUCUUUGCAGAUGUAACUAUGAAACUAAGGUGAGGUCAUUAGGGCAAGCCCUUAAUCCAGUAUGACUGUGUUCUUAUAAGAGGAGGAGAGGCUGGGUGCAGUGGCUCACACCUGUAAUCCCAGCGAUUUGGGAGGCUGAGGCGGGAGGAUCGCUUGAGCCCAGGAUUUGCUGGGCAACAUAUCGAGACCCCAUCUCUACUAAAAAUUUAAAAAUUAGCCAGACAUGGUGGCACGCAGCUGUAGUCUCACCUACUUGGAAGGCUAGUGGGAGGAUGGCUUGAGCCCAGGAGUCCGAGGCUGCAGUGAGCUAUGAUCAUAUCAAUGCACUCCAGUCUGGGCAACAAGGGAGACCCUGACUCAAAAAAACAAAACAAAAACAAAACAAAACAAAACAAAAAAAGAGGAGGAGAGAGACACACAAGGAGAGAAUGCCAUGUGACAAUGGAGACAGACACUGGACUGAUGCACCUGCAGACCGAGGAAUGCGCAAGGAUUGCCAGCAGCCCCCAGAAGCCAGGAGCGGGACAUGGAAUAGAGUCUCUCUCAACCCCUCAGAAAGUUCUAAUCCUGCUGAUGCCUUGAUUUUGGACUUCAGCGUCCAGAACUGUGAGAUGAGAUAUGUUUGUUGCUUAAGCCUCCCGGUUUAUGCUGCUUUGUGAUGGCAGCCCAAGCAGACGAAUACAGAAAGAAAUGGGGAUUUGAGUUGGAAGAACUGCUUUGAGUCCCAGCUACCACUUAGUACCUGAAUGACCUUGGGCAAAGAAGUUCAAUUUUUCUGAGCCUCAGUUUUAUAAACUGCAAAAUGGAGAAAUACAAAAGUAACUGUUCUCCUGCCUCAGGAUCCCUGUGAGGAUGAAGUGUGACUAUGUGUAUAAAAAUAUUUUGUUUAUUGUACAGCACUGUGUACUGCAAUCUUAUUACACAAAGAAAGGAAGGUGGGAGGUAGUAGAGCGGAGUGAUUACAAGCUAGGCUCUGGCUGGGCACAGUGGCUCAUGCCUGUAAUCUCAGCACUUUGGGAGGCUGAGGUGGGUGGAUCACCUGAGGUCAGGAGUUUGACCUGGCCAACAU
rnacentral:lncRNA from 1 species